rnacentral:rRNA from 1 species
ACUCUUAACAACAGUUACCUUAGCUUUCACAUUGAUGAAGAAUGUAGCAAAAUGUGAUACUUGGUGUGAAUUGCAAAAUCCUAUGAACUAUCGAGUCUUUGAAUGCAAGUUGCGCCCCAAGCCAUUAGUCCAAAGGCAAGCCUACUUGGGUGUCAUGCAUCAUAACUCUUUCCAAACCUCCACCCAUUGAGCUCUAGAUUGAGGGAGGCCUAUAGCAAUUUUGACAUGCAAAUCAUUCAUCUAACUUAGGUACAAGGGUGAAAGACUAAUCCAACUGUCUAGUAGCUAGUUCCUUUCGAAGUUUUCCUCAUGAUAGUUGGAGCCCUUACCGAGUUCAAUGAGUGAAGCUAACAAUUAGAGGUAUCGGGAUGCAACGCCUGACCUAUUCUCAAACUUUAAAUAGGUAAGAUGGCAUGACUACUUCGUUAAGCCAUGCCAUGGAAUCGAGAGCUCCAAGUGGGCCAUUUUUGGUAAGCAAAACUAGCGAUGUAGGAGGAACCAGAAACUAGGUUGCAGUGCCCAACUUUGUAGUAACCUAGAACCCAUAAUGGGUGUUGGUUGAUUAAGACAACAUGAUGGUGGUUAUGGAAGUUGAAAUCCACUAAGAAGUGUGUAACAACUCACUUACUAAAUCAACUAGCCUAAAAAAUGGAUGGUGCUUAAGAACGUAGCAUAUUCCUAGCAUCAUGGUAAGGGACAGGCCUCGAUAAGUAGAAAGGUGCAUCAUUGCCAUAAAACCUGAGGCAUAAGCACAAGCAGAGUGAUCAUCGAUGUAGAUCUUGGUGGUAGUAGCAAAUAUUCAAAUAAGAACUUUAAAGGUUAAAGAAGGGAAGAGUUCCAUGUGAAUGGCAUUUGCACAUAGGUUAGUCGAUCUUAAGAGACAAGGGAAGCUCAUUCAAUAGUGCAUCCAAUGUGAGCUUCAAAAGAGAACCAAGUUAAAACUUUUAAACCAUGAUGCGGUGACUAAGAGAAAAGUUAGGGAGUUUAAAGAUGUUGACAGGGGCCUCAGGAAGAGUUAUCUUUUCAAUUUAAUGGCUUGCUCACCUUAGAAAUGGUUUAGCUAAAGGUAGGGUCUAGUAGCCAAAAUAGCACUACAAGUUAUAUGGUGUCUGGUUGCCCUAGUGAUCUUUGAAAAUUAGAAAGACUGAGUGCUAUUCAUGCUUGAUCAUACUCAUAAACACAUCGGGUCUUCAAGAUGAACAGCCUCUUAUUGAUGGAACAAUGUAGGUAAGGGAAGUCGACAAAAUAAAUCCAUAACCUUAGGAAAAAGAUUAACUCUAAUGGCUAGGGAUGGGGUCCCAAUCUUAAACCUAUCAACUGUUGGUACACUACUUGAGCUACUUCUGCAGUGAAAGUAGGUCACCAUGUGUCGAUUAAGGGAUGGACUGGGAACGAAUCCCUUGAGGACCUUUCUUGGGUGAUAAAUAGUUGGUAUGAAAUUGGUAUGGACAAGGAGAAUCUGACUAUUUAAUUAAAACAAAGCAUUGCGAUGGUCCCUGCAAAUGCUCACGUAAUGUGAUUUCUACUUAGUACUCUGAAUGUCAAAGUGAAGAAAUUUAACCAAGUAUAGGUAAAUGGCAAGAGUAACUAUGGCUCUCUUAAGGUAGCCAAAUGCCUUGCUAUCUAAUUAGUGAUGUGUAUGAAUCGAUUAAUAAGAUUCUCGCUAUCCUUGUCUACUAUCCAAUGAAAUCACAACUAAGGGAAUGGGCUUGGAGAAGCAAUAAGGAAAUAAAACCUUGUUAAGCUUGACUCUAGUUUGACUUUGUGAAAUAGCUUGAGAGGUGUAGGAUAAGUGGGAUCCCUUAGGCGAAAUUAAAAUACCAUUACUUUUAACAUUAUUUUAUUUAUUCCAUAAAUUGGAGGUGGGGUACGAUCCCUUGUUUUGGACCAAGGUUGACCUCAGUUGUCGAUCUAGGUGGAAGACAUUAUCAAGUAGGGAGUUUGGCUAAGGCAACACAUUUGUUAAAAGAUAAUGCAGGUCUUCUAAGAUGAGGUCAACGAGAAUAGAAAUCUCAUGU